ACAGUUUUACGCGUCCCCUUUCCUCAAGUAGUGUAAAUCGGAUUUACAUAGGAUAACGUGUUCUUCGUUACAAGUAAGAUCAUAACGAAGAUCCAUCGGCACAACAAUUACGUAAUUAGUUAUACUUUGAACGAUUAUCUUUCUCUACUACAAACAAUUGCUCCGAUUCCUUCAUCAAAGAUAAAUUGUCUCAUGAAUAAGAGCGGAAAACGUAUAUAAAGAGUUACCGCGUAAUGGUACAUACUAGACGGCCGUUCUGUCAAUCGACAGUGAGUAAUCUGUGUUGAAAAGAUUGCCGCGGCAUUGGGAAAAUGUUCUCAACCGCGAUUUUGUUUCUUUUCUGUUUGAUGAAAAAUACGAUUCACGUGGACGCGGGAUCACCGAGAAUCGUGAUAGUCGGUGCCGGUGCUUCAGGUAUCGCGGCUGCCUCAAAGUUACUUGAAAACGGUUUCGAUAAUGUUCUCAUCCUGGAAGCCGAAGACAGAAUCGGUGGACGUGUAAACACAGUAAAAUUUGAUGAAUAUGUCGUCGAUUUAGGCGCGCAAUGGAUUCAUGGCGAGAAAGGAAACGUUGCGUAUCAAUUGGCAGCUCCUUUAAACGUUACCGAUCACUCGGAUCCGUACUACGACGAAAUAUACACCAAGUCUGGCCAGUUGCUCGACUCGGAAAUUAUGAGCAACGUUACGGAAUUCUUUAUCCAAUUACUCGAGUCGAUAGACACUACAGAAGAUUGCAACAACACUGCUUCUAUGGGCGAAUGUUUUGAAAAAAAGUCGAAACAGCAUUUUGCACUAUUUCCGGAAUUAAACGAUACAAUGCAGGAAGAAUUACUAUGGCGUUUACAUAUGAUGGAAACAAGCCUCGAUCCCGCCGAUUCCUGGUACGAUUUAUCGUUGUUGGACUAUGCGUACAUGGGAUGCGAGGGGGACAAGACGAUAAAUUGGAAGGAACGCGGAUACAGCACCAUCUUAGACAUAUUAAUGAAAAAAUUUCCAAACCCGGAGGAGGAGUUACCCGUGUUAAAUAACACAAUUGUUAAAGCCGAGGUGACGAAAGUCGAUUACUCGAGCGAAAACGGUAGUACCGUGAAACUAACGACACUCGACGGAAACGAAUAUAUAGCCGACCAUGUAAUCAUGACGCCUUCUUUAGGAGUGCUUAAGGCACAAUACGAGACACUGUUUCAUCCUCAACUACCAGAAUCAAAGAUAAAAAAUAUCAAGGGUUUAGGUUUUGGAAAUGCCUGUAAAAUAAUCCUGGCGUUUAACGAUACUUGGUUCAACGAUAGAGGAAUGAAAAACAGAGGCUUCAGCUUCUUGUGGAGCGAGGCGGAAAGAAUGGAGCUCGAUGCUGAUCCGAAAACGAGGUGGCUGCCAUACACGAUGGGAGCGUACGUCGUCGAACAUAAGCCUCGAUUGUUGCUCCUAUGGAUUUCCGGGAAAGGUGGACGUUUGAUGGACGAUCUGACGGACGAUCAAGUACUGGAGCAGACUGUAAGCAUGUUAGAAAAUUUCUUAGGAAAGGAAUACAAAGUCGCUAGACCAACAGCAAUGAUAAGAAGUAAAUGGCAUGAAAAUAAACACUUCCGUGGCACGUAUAGCUACCAAAGCAUAGAAACUGUGAGAAGAAACACAAGUGCGAAGCAGUUGGCCGAACCGAUUAUGAAAAUGGGUAAACCGGUGAUACUAUUUGCGGGAGAAGCUACCAACGAAUACCAUUUCUCUACGGUGCACGGCGCUAUUGGUUCUGGAUGGAGAGAAGCCGAGAGACUGAUAAAACUGUACGACGAAAACGAUAGUAGAACGGAACGGAAUUAAUUGUAAACGUUGUCGUAUAAACGCGAAAUUACCAGUACAGUACCAAAUAUAAAAAUUUCCUCUUUCUUCUAAACUAAAACUGUGAUGCCGUAGAAAAACUUGUGCCUGUUUUACACCAGUUUCGUAAGCACCGUGAGUCGUCGAAUAAAAGUUGUCGUGCGUUGCUUCGCCGGCGAACAUAAUAACAGGUAUAUC